CCCAAUUCCCACUCCUGACCCUCAUCUCCCCCCGGCCGCACGGCUCCUGGCGCUGCCCCAAAGCUCCCGGCGCUGCCCCAAAGCUGCCGGCGGCGCUGCACCCCAAAACCGCCCGCAUUCCUGCGCUGCUGCGUGGCUGCAGAUCCGGGGUGGGGCGGGGAGCGGCCACUGCUCGGCCCCACGGCUGACCCCAUUACUGACCCCAUGGCUCACCCCAUUACUGACCCCAAAAGGAACCCCAUAAGGAACCCCAUUGCUGACCCUAUUGCUGACCCCAUUGCUCACCCCAUAAAUGAUCCCAUUAAUGACCCCAUAAGUGGCCCAUUGCUGACCCCAUUGCUGACCCCAUUAAUGGCCCCACUGCUCACCCCAUUAAUGACCCCACAAGGGACCCCAUAAGGGACCCCAUUACUGAUCCUAUUGCUGACCCUACUGCUCACCCCAUUACUGACCCCAUGGCUGACCCCAUUGCUGACCCUACUGCUGACCCCAUUGCUCACCCCAUUAAUGACCCCAAAAGGAACCCCAUAAGGAACCCCAUUACUGAUCCUAUUGCUGACCCCAUUGCUCACCCCAUAAAUGAUCCCAUUAAUGACCCCAUAAGUGGCCCAUUGCUGACCCCAUUGCUGACCCCAUUACUGACCCCAUUACUGACCCCAUACUGACCCCAUUGCUGACCCCAUUGCUGACCCCAUUACUGACCCCAUUACUGACCCCAUUGCUCACCCCAUAAAUGCCCCCAUUAAUGACCCCAUAAGUGGCCCAUUGCUGACCCCAUAAGGGACCUCAUAAGUGACCCAAUAAGGGACUCCAUAAGGGACCCCAUUGCUCACCCUAUUACUGACCCCAUUAGUGACCCCAUAGGGGACCCCACCCCAUAAGGAACCCCACUGCCCACCCCAUUGCUGACCCUAUUGCUGACUCCAUUGCUGACCUUAUUGCUGACCCCAUUGCUCACCCCAUUACUGACCCCAUAAGGGACCCCAUAAGGGGCCCGUUGCUGACCCCAUUGCUCACCCCCAUAAUGACCCCAUUAAUGACCCCAUAAGUGACCCCAUUGCUGACUCCAUUGCUGACCUUAUUGCUGACCCCAUUGCUCACCCCAUUACUGACCCCAUAAGGGACCCCAUAAGGGGCCCAUUGCUGACCCCAUUGCUGACCCCAUAAGCAACCCCAUUACUGACCCUAUUGCUGACCCCAUUGCUCACCCCAUUAAUGAUGUCAUUACUGACCCUAUUGGUGACGCUAUUGCUCACCCCAUUAAUGACCCCAUUAAUGACCCCAUAAGUGACCACAAACUGACCCCAUAAGUGACUCCAUCCUGACCCCAUAAGGACCCCAUAAGUGACCCCAUAAGUGACCCCAUCCCUGACCCCAUAAGUGACCCUAUAAGUGAUCCCACUGCUCACCCAUUACUGACCCCACUACUGAUCCCAUUGCUCACCCCAUUGCUCACCCCAUUACUUGCCCCACUGGUAGCCCACAGAGCUCCAAAAUGACCCCAUAAAUCCCCCCAGUGACCCCAUAGACCCCACAGUGACCCCAUAAAUCCCCACAGUGACCCCAUAAAUCCCCCUAGUGACCCCAUAGAGCUCCACAGACCCCAUAAAGCCCCACAGUGACCCCAUAAAUCCCCCUGGUGACCCCAUAGAGCCCCACAGUGAC
rnacentral:lncRNA from 1 species